rnacentral:rRNA from 1 species
AUACGUAGGGGGCGAGCGUUGUCCGGAUUUAUUGGGUUUAAAGGGAGCGUAGGUGGAUUGUUAAGUCAGUUGUGAAAGUUUGCGGCUCAACCGUAAAAUUGCAGUUGAAACUGGCAGUCUUGAGUACAGUAGAGGUGGGCGGAAUUCGUGGUGUAGCGGUGAAAUGCUUAGAUAUCACGAAGAACUCCGAUUGAGAAGGCAGCUCCCUAGACUGUUAAUGACACUGAUGCUCGAAAGUGCGGGUGUCAAACAGGAUUAGAUACACCGAUAGGCCACACAGUAAGCGAUGAAUACUCGCUGUUUGCGAUAUACAGUAAGCGGCCAAGCGAAAGCAUUAAGUAUUCCACCUGGGGAGUACGCCAGCAACGGUGCAACUCAAAGGAAUUGGCGGGG